AACGAACGCUGGCGGCGCGUCUUAAGCAUGCAAGUCGGACGGCAAGGGUAGCAAUACCCCUAGAGUGGCGGACUGGUGAGUAACGCGUGGGUGACCUGCCCUUGAGUUGGGGAUAGCCAUUAGAAAUAGUGGAUAAUACCGAAUACGAUCGCUGUCACUGUGGUGAUGCGAUGAAAGGAGCUACGGCUCCACUCGAGGAUGGGCCCGCGUCCCAUUAGCUAGUUGGUGAGGUAACGGCCCACCAAGGCGACGAUGGGUAUCCGGCCUGAGAGGGUGUACGGACACAUUGGGACUGAGAUACGGCCCAAACUCCUACGGGAGGCAGCAGCUAAGAAUAUUCCGCAAUGGACGAAAGUCUGACGGAGCGACGCCGCGUGGAUGAAGAAGGCCGAAAGGUUGUAAAAUCCUUUUGCUGAUGAAGAAUAAGUGGAGUAGGGAAUGAUUCCAUGAUGACAUUAGUCGGUGAAUAAGCCCCGGCUAACUACGUGCCAGCAGCCGCGGUAACACGUAGGGGGCAAGCGUUGUUCGGAAUUAUUGGGCGUAAAGGGCAUGUAGGCGGUUUUGUAAGCCUGGUGUGAAAUCCUGCAGCUUAACUGUAGAAUUGCAUUGGGUACUGCAAGACUUGAAUCACAGAGGGGAAACUAGAAUUCCAGGUGUAGGGGUGGAAUCUGUAGAUAUCUGGAAGAAUACCGGUGGCGAAGGCGGGUUUCUAGCUGAUGAUUGACGCUGAGGUGCGAAAGUGCGGGGAGCAAACAGGAUUAGAUACCCUGGUAGUCC
rnacentral:rRNA from 1 species